CCGAGAUUCCCCCAGUAGCGGCGAGCGAACGGGGAGCAGCCCAGAGCCUGAAUCAGUGUGUGUGUUAGUGGAAGCGUCUGGAAAGGCGCGCGAUACAGGGUGACAGCCCCGUACACAAAAAUGCACAUGCUGUGAGCUCGAUGAGUAGGGCGGGACACGUGGUAUCCUGUCUGAAUAUGGGGGGACCAUCCUCCAAGGCUAAAUACUCCUGACUGACCGAUAGUGAACCAGUACCGUGAGGGAAAGGCGAAAAGAACCCCGGCGAGGGGAGUGAAAAAGAACCUGAAACCGUGUACGUACAAGCAGUGGGAGCACGCUUAGGCGUGUGACUGCGUACCUUUUGUAUAAUGGGUCAGCGACUUAUAUUCUGUAGCAAGGUUAACCGAAUAGGGGAGCCGAAGGGAAACCGAGUCUUAACUGGGCGUUAAGUUGCAGGGUAUAGACCCGAAACCCGGUGAUCUAGCCAUGG
rnacentral:rRNA from 1 species